rnacentral:sRNA from 1 species
UUUUGCUAUUACUCUGUUGUUAUCAUGUUUUCAUUCCAUUCAACGUUUAUGCUUUCUACAAUGAUGUCUGAGUAGUGAAUAGGUUUCUAAGGAUGGGUUAAAGUAGUGUAGAAUUCUUAGUAUGCUAGGUAGUUGAGUUUGAUUGAUAGAUCCCUUCAGGAUUAGUUGUUCUUAAUGCCUAUUGCUUUCUGAUCAACUGGAAUUUGAGCCCAGACAUUUCCGCGCCCAAAAGGUGUUCGAUGAAAUGGCUGAACCACUAAUUCCAGAGAUUCGUGACGCUAUACCAAGGUAUUAGUUGCAGGGAGCGUUUUGGCUUUAACUUGUUGAUUCGUAAUGCCUGUUAGGUUAGCUCUCGUCAAUGGUGAUUGAGUCUGGGACUAGGUUAACUUGAGGGUCUCUGUUGCUGUGGCAC